CUCCCCACUCAUUUUUUAACUCUGUGUAAGUGCAUGGUUGUUACAAUAAAUCAAGACUCUUGUUUCCAUGAGUCUCCCCAGAUUCAGUGUGUCUUUAUCUCGGGUUACUAGGAGGGAGGUCUGGGUCAUCAACACUCACGAUCCUGCUCAGCUCCAGGAAGUGAAUGGCUGGAACCACCCCUCCAACAGCCCUGACUGCUGGAGGACCUGGCCGAGUGGCAUCUGAACCGGGACAUGUCUCUCUUGAACCGAAGAACCCUGAUAGGCCAGUCAGUCUUCGGUAAUUUGCUCUCAUAACACAGAAAACAAUAGUAGUCAAAGUCUCCCAUCUGUCCUUUGUUCUAUUGAGGACAUUUGAUUUCUGAUCCUUUACCCAGAAAAUGGUGUUGCCCAAAGAAAACUAUCUUCAAGAUAGAAACCCAAGAAUAUAAGACCAGAAAUCUUUCUGGAAUGUUCACAGGAACAUCUCCAUCAUCUCAAAACAUGCAUUUAUUUUUCCCUGAAUGAAUAUAUGAGUGUUCCAUAUAUGGGAAGAAUGAGUGGACAUAGAAAACGAUAUUAACAGGCAUGAUUUCCAGUAGCAAAGUCCAAGAUGCUACUUUAGUUUUUGGAUAAGGUGGUUCACAUGGAAACACCCAAACAAUCAUGGCUGAUUCCAAGAUAAAGAAUUGCUCUUCAUAAACUGACAUCAGGGCCAUAUGGCUGAGGACAACACCCAAACAACUCGUUGAACAUGAAGGAUUCCAACUGGUACCUACAUGGAAUUUUCACCAUGUGUCAUAGUGCCUAUGCUGCAGGAAGGUACUCUACAGGUUACCAGAAAAGAAAUGUGGGCACCAUCCCAGGAUACCAUAUAAAGAAUUUUCACUAGGAAGACAGCAUGUGGAGUCAGUCUUCUUCUGUCUCUGAAAGAGCACUGUGGACUGAUGGAGUUCUCUUGCUGAGUUUUGAUCCUGAGAAUUCACACAUCACUUCUCCUGCCCUCUCCUGGUCCUUCACAUCCAGCCACAGAGUGUGGCAACACUACUCCUCUGAAUUCUUAUGUUUUAAUAAAUGUUAGGUCAAAACAAAUGUAAACUUAAUGAAAUACUUAGUUAAAAUGUUUGUUUAAAGUUAUUUUUAAUUUAUUUGUUAUUUUUUAUGUUGGAACAUGCAGCUAUAGCUAUGCUCUAGAGAGAGCAGCAACUAUACCAGAGAAUACUCAUAAGCAUAUGGUACUGCUACUAUUGUUAAGAUUCCUUUUGCAACAUUUUAUGGUGGGUCUGUUUGUGUUCUGUUCAUAUAUCUAACAAUGUCAGUAAUGUCAAUUUGUUUCAAAAUGUUAGGAAUUAACUGUUAUAAAAAAGUGACAUGUUGGUAAUGAAAGGAGAAACAGCAGAUGGAAGUAAUAUCUAGGCAUAAAAGUAGGAGUUUCUCUUAGGGAGCAUUAACGGUAUAAAGUCCUACAAUUAAUUAUGACAUUUUCAUAAUGCAUAUCAUUUGCUUUGAGCACAACAUCUGAUGCACUCUGCCGUGUGCAUCAUGCCCUGUUCCUGAUCCUUUUCCUAAUGUUCUACUUCUGUUUGCGUGUCUUUUUAAGAAUCAAGAUUCUGCAAAUGGCAGAAAAGUUGGCACUUAUUCUGAAUCUGCCAUAUCUUUCUUAACAGUGGCUGAUUUCGUUCACAAAGAGUAUUUAAAACUGACUUUUGAGUAGGAAUAAAAAAGUGGCUGAGGUGCCCGUCUGGUAUCCGAAGUGUCCAGUGUUCAUGAUGUCGGCCUCGGUAGUGUCGGUCAUCUCGUGGUUCCUAGAGGAGUACUUGAGCUCCACUCCUCAGCAGCUGAAGUUGCUGGAUGCCUAUCUCCUUUAUAUACUGCUGACAGGCACUGCAAUUUGUCUACUGUCUCCUCGUGGGCACCUUUGUGGGGGACCGAAUAUUGGGUCCUAGGUUCUGGCCACCAUAAACAGCGGUGGUGCCAGGAAACUCCGCCCACUAUUGUAUUGUUAAUGUCAGCAGGGAUACUUUUGUUUACCAUGGCCUCAGGAUAAUAUGCCUCCUUAUUUGCAUAUCUAUGCACCUAAGCAUCUGUAUAGGCCUGCAUCUGGGCAGGGAGAGGAGAGGUAUGUGAGUAACAUAUGAACACAGAAGGUUAGGAGCAAAGAGGGCGAGCGAUGAGAGGAGAGAGGAGAACAAAGAGAGAAAUGGUUGACUUAUAGUAUUAGCAAGAUGGUUAAGAGAAACCAGAAAAGAUGGCUAAUAAAGAAAUGACUCUAGUUCCACAACAUGGAACUGAGAGCUCUCUGAAGAUGACAAGAUGCCUGUGUUUGGUCUUUAUUGGGUUCCUCGAAGCUUCCAGGUCCACACACCCUCACUCAGGUAGAACACCAUGGAGUAAGGCUGAGACAUGCUGGGUCACGACACACCUUCCCCUUCAACUCUUUCCUCUCCGGCUUCAUCUUCUGUGUGGACAGCUUCAUUCUAGCAGUUUGCUUGAGAAUACUGAUCAAACUCCAGACAAAGGCAGAUUUCCAAGGCAUCUCUCCAGAUCCAGCCUUUGCUGAUUUCCUCUUUGCCAGCACUAUCCUGCACCUUGUCUUCACGAACUUCGUUGGCUGAACUGCUCCCAUUUCCUUUGUCGUGGAUUUGGAGAUUGGCAGAAUGUUCACUCUUUGACAUCCCCUGGAUAAGAAUUCUUGAGAUGACAGCGUGUUGAACAUUGAUGAUUCAGAUCUGAGCUUUGCUGUGGCCCUGACUGGGUAUGAAAUGGGGAGUCCAGAGACCUCCCUUUGCUUUGUCAGACCAGCUUCACAAUGUGUGUCUGUUAACACAGAAUCUGCCUUCUGCAAAUGUAACCCCUACUCUCCAAAUUAAACAGUUUCUCUGCUGUUUCUCAAAAAAAAAA